UCAGAAGAGCUUCAGUUAGGUUGGAGAUCUACAUUUCCAUCAAACAACCCACACAGGUGAGAAACCAUAUAAAUAUAUGGAAUGUGGAAAGAACUUCAUUCAGAGCAUUGACCUUAGUUCACAUUUUAGAACUCACACAGGGGAGAAGUCAUACAGAUGCAUGCAACAUGGAAAGUUGUUCAACUGAAGGAAUGAUUUUACUUCCCACAAGAUAAUGUGCACAGAAGCAGAACUAUAUUACGGCUCCAGUUUGUCACCAAAUCAUUUGAAGUGAUGCUGGCGUAACUAUGUCGGACCCUAUACUGAGAUAAUACAAAUGGCAUGAUGUGCAAUUGGACACAUGAUUCCAAUGUCAUGACAAGGAUUCUGGCCAUAAUAUAUGAUGUGGUAACAGCUUUCAUGACAGCAGGUUGUGUUCUAAGCAUCGAAAAAACUCUCACUGGGGAGAAACUUACCAAAGAGAACUGCCACAAAGUCUCUUUCAAUAUUUUAAACUUCCUUCAUAAAACAGAGUUGGAGAAUCUUAUAUGGUCAAAUUCAAUGUACUCUCCUUUUAAGCAAGCACUUGGGGCCCACUUAUGAUUCUAGGCUCAACUCUGUUUCCUAUCAAUAUUGGAUUUUUGGACUAAAUCCUAGAUCUCUCAAAAAGUUCAUAAAAUUGAUGGGGGUGGAAAUCCAGUGGUCUGAAGCUGGAGUUUGUGUCUGAGUUACUGUAUUGUCAUUUCCCCCCUUGAAACAGAAGUCAGAGGUGUCUUAAAUUCAUUCAUUCAUGGAUGAAGUGAUUUUCCAUCGCAGUGAAGAUAAGUGUGGUUUGCAGUCCACCUCGAGAUGAAAACUCUUUUUUUUGCAGUAGGCGCAGUAUAAAAGAAGGGAGGAUUUCUGCAAGAAGAAACAACAAUAGAAAGAAGUAUAUACUGUCAGAAGGACUGCCUGACAAUUUGAAGGCAGGACCCGAGACUGAGCCGAGGCUCCCCUGGAUUUGCUCAGGACCCAGAGAGAAGCGAACUCCCGAUCGAUCCCUCCAACCGUUGCAAGGCAGUGAAACCUCUCGGGUUGUCUUGGGCUGCAAAGGGACUUUCGUACGGUGCAUCUGCCCAGGAAUCCCAUUUGGAUUUAGAACAAAAGCAUCAGCUUGCCAUCCCAAAGCCUCCCUGAAAACGCUACUGCUCUUUCUGGCCACCUCGGCUUCCAAAAAACCUUGCAUAGAAUUACUACUCGCUUCUACUGGCUCAGUGUUUCAAACAUCAGUGAGACGUUAUGGUGGCAGCUGUCCUGUUUAUCAGAAAAUUGGACAUGCGACUCAUGUUAUUCAGAUGGCCUUUCUGGAGAUGACCCCGUGUUGACCCCAACAAGAGCGUGGGAUCUGCUGGAUUGAUGCUCGAGAUCUCUGCGCAAGGACCUCCUACUAGGAACGAUGUCUCUCCAGGUAACUUCAUUUAAUAAAAAAUCAUUUGCCUAGUACA
rnacentral:lncRNA from 1 species